rnacentral:misc_RNA from 1 species
CGCGAUUAGUCGGGCUGGUCGCCUGGAGAUGGGCGAUUAGGAGGACGACGUGAUUAGGGUUUCUAGUCGUCCUAGUCGUCCGACUAGUCGUCGACCUGGGCGAUUAGUCGUCUGGUCGAGCGCAGUCUAGUCGUUUUUGGUCGUUUCAGUUCUGGACUUUUGGUACUGGGCUUCCCUCUGGUUUUUGGCCCAUCUAUAGUAGCGCCCCUUCAGAAACCCCCCAGGCUCCCAGCCGCCAAGGCCUUCCAGCCGCCAGAACAUUUCCUAGCCGCCAGAAAACCCUAAUCCUCUCCUCUCCUCUGUCCUUGCCGACAUCUCUCACCUCUCCUCUGUCCUUGCCGGCGUCUCUGCUCCAGCGGUCAGGCCUCCAAGUGCUCCAGCCGUCCGGCGUCUGCCAGCUACUCAGCUAGUCAAGAAUUGAAGAUGAGCUCGUCAUCUGAAGGUAGCACUUGCUCUCCCUUCUCUGAUUAUUUCCCAGCCUUCCCUUUCCCUCUGUUACCUCUGCAGCGCCCGGAAGAUAGCAGUAGCCCUUCCCUCUCCCUUCUCUGAUUGUGUGUUUGUGUUGUCUGUUCAGAUUUUAAUGGUGGCUGUGGACGUGCUAAUAACGUUGAGGUCUUAUUCCCUGGGUCAAAUAUGGUCGGCAGUGAAAGUCAAAGUGCUUCUGUUCCUCAAGUGGCCUCAAAUGCAGGUAGCACUGGUCCUGCGUCUGCUUUAUCAGCUGCUGCAGAUUGUAAAACCCUUGCUGAAAAGGCAAUUGCAGCAUUCCCUCCUGACCUUAGUGCACAAGCAAAUGACCCCAAGAGAAAGGCAAGGUCACAGGACCCAGGAUGGCAGUUUGGGUGGUGGCCAGACACAACAAAGAAGGAUUUUGUUCAGUGUGUCUUCUGUAAGAAGAUUGUGCCAUCUGGAAUCAAGAGGUUUAAGCAGCAUCUAGCCGGUGGGUUUGGUGACACCAUGAAGUGUGCUAGAGUACCAGAAGUGGUUUCAAAGGAGAUGCACACCUAUCUGAGAAGGAACAUGAGGGUUGUGAUUACUGCGGAUGGUGAUGAAGGUGAAGAGGAAGGGGAGCAGAUUGAUGUAGGCCCCCUACCAAGUUCUGGGACAAAAACCAAGCAAACAAAAAAGCAAAUUGCUCAAGCUUCCAUGUCUUCAUUUGUUGUAGCAGCUCCUAUAAAACCAAAUACACAGAAGGCAAGCAAAUCAGUGAGUGCCAUGCUUUGCAAGACUCCAGAGGAAGUUGUAGCAGAGAGACAUAAAAAUAGAACUUCUCAGACCACUCUUGAGCAUUGCACAAAGAAAGGAACAGAAGCAAAGCAAAUUGUUGACGACCAUGUAGCUGAUUUUCUAUAUGAGAACAAGAUUCCAUUGAAUGUCGUCAAUUCAAGAAGCUGGCAGAUUAUGAUGGAGUCCAUUGGUCAGUAUGGUCCUGGAUAUCGUGGCCCAUCAUACUAUGAGGCAAGGGUACCUUGGCUUGAAAGGGCAGUGAAGAGAACAUCAACAUUGAGAGCUAAGCACGAAGAGGCUUGGAAGGAAUAUGGUUGCUCAAUUAUGUCAGAUGGGUGGACUGACAUACGACAACGGCAUUUGAUAAACUUCCUUGCCAACAGUCCAGCGGGGACCUACUUCUUAGGUUCUGUCGAUGCAUCAAGUGAGAUAGCAAAUGCCAAUAUGUUGGCAGAUCUAUUGGAGAAGCAAAUAAUUAAGGUGGGGA